CACCAGUGGCGAAGGCGACUUCCUGGCCCAAUACUGACGCUGAGGUGCGAAAGCGUGGGGAGCGAACAGGAUUAGAUACCCUGGUAGUCCACGCCGUAAACGAUGUCAACUGGGUGUUGGGGAGCUUGACUCCUUAGUAUCGAAGCUAACGCGAUAAGUUGACCGCCUGGGGAGUACGGCCGCAAGGUUAAAACUCAAAGGAAUUGACGGGGGCCCGCACAAGCGGUGGAGCAUGUGGUUUAAUUCGAUGCAACGCGAAGAACCUUACCUGGCCUUGACAUCCUGUGAACUUUCUAGAGAUAGAUUGGUGCCUUCGGGAGCACAGUGACAGGUGCUGCAUGGCCGUCGUCAGCUCGUGUCGUGAGAUGUUGGGUUAAGUCCCGCAACGAGCGCAACCCUCGCCUUUAGUUGCCAUCAGGUCAAGCUGGGCACUCUAAAGGGACUGCCGGUGUCAAACCGGAGGAAGGUGGGGAUGACGUCAAGUCCUCAUGGCCUUUAUGACCAGGGCUACACACGUACUACAAUGGCCGGUACAAAGGGCAGCCACAGGGCGACCUGGAGCGAAUCCCGGAAAGCCGGUCUCAGUCCGGAUUGGAGUCUGCAACUCGACUCCAUGAAGUUGGAAUCGCUAGUAAUCGUGGAUCAGCAUGCCACGGUGAAUACGUUCCCGGGCCU
rnacentral:rRNA from 1 species